rnacentral:rRNA from 1 species
UACGGAAGGCAGCAGUGGGGAAUAUUGCACAAUGGGCGAAAGCCUGAUGCAGCUAUGCCGCGUGUAUGAAGAAGGCCUUAGGGUUGUAAAGUACUUUCAUCGGGGAGGAAAAACAAAACUAAUAAUUUUAUUUCUUGACGUUACCCGAAAAAGAAGCACCGGCUAACUCCGUGCCAGCAGCCGCGGUAAUACGGAGGGUGCUAGCGUUAAUCAGAAUUACUGGGCGUAAAGAGCACGUAGGUGGUUUUUUUAAGUUCAGAUGUGAAAUCCCUGGGCUUAACCUAGGAACUGCAUUUUGAAACUGAAAUACUAGAGUAUCGUAGAGGGAGGUAGAAUUCUAGGUGUAGCGGUGAAAUGCGUAGAUAUCUGGAGGAAUACCGGUGGCGAAGGCGGCCCCUGGACAAAGACUGACGCUCAUGUGCGAAAGCGUGGGGAGCAAACAGGGAUUAGAUACCCGU